rfam:Gossypium hirsutum cultivar TM-1 chromosome 15, whole genome shotgun sequence
AACCCAUGGUGAGGGCACCUUCUCAUUAAGUCUUUGUAUCUCUCCCAUGCAUCGUAAAGUGUUUCCAAUUCCAUCCGCACAAACGAAGAGAUAUCAUUGCUUAAUUU